rnacentral:snoRNA from 1 species
UGAUUGAUCAUGACUCCCUAAUAUGUAUUCCUUGGAAAAUCUGAACAAAAUGAGUGAGAAUUCACUAUAAUCAAGAAAACAAACAGGGGCG